rnacentral:rRNA from 1 species
CCUACGGGUGGCAGCAGUGAGGAAUAUUGGUCAAUGGACGGAAGCCUGAACCAGCCAAGUAGCGUGAAGGAUGACGGCCCUAUGGGUCGUAAACUUCUUUUAUAUGGGAAUAAAACAGUGUAUUUAUACACUCUUGUAUGUACCGUAUGAAUAAGGACCGGCUAAAUCCGUGCCAGCAGCCGCGGUAAUACGGAGGAGCCGAGCGUUAGCCGGAUUUAUUGGGUUUAAAGGGAGCGUAGGUGGAUGGUUAAGUCAGUUGUGAAAGUCUGCGGCUCAAACGUAGCAUUGCAGUUGAAACUGGAAGUCUUGAGUACAGAACAGGCAGGCGGAAUUCGUGGUGUAGCGGUGAAAUGCAUAGAUAUCACGAAGAACCCCGAUUGCGAAGGCAGCCUGCUGGACUGCAACUGACACUGAUGCUCGAAAGUGUGGGUAUCAAACAGGAUUAGAUACCCGAGUAGUC